UCCAGAUUGCCCACCAUGCUGCUUGUGG
rnacentral:sRNA from 1 species